CAUACUUCAUCGAUUUCCAAUACUUAUGCAACCUUUGAACCGUCAUUUCACUAACCUACGUGAAUAAACUAUUAACAAAAAUUAGAUUAACAUUUUAAUUUCCAACCCAUUCACAGAUGUAUAGUAUCAUUUAACAGAAAACCACUUCAAUCGAUAUCAAAUUAUCACUAUUGUCAUACUAAGAAACCGUCAAUUUUUUUUUUGAAAACAAGUACAUUUGACCGCUUUUCGCCCUUGGGAAUGACUAGUUCAUCGCUUCAUUUUAUAAUUAAACGCAGUAAAUUAAUAAUCGAGACAUAAAACA